rnacentral:rRNA from 1 species
CCUACGGUGGGCAGCAGUGAGGAAUAUUGGUCAAUGUCCGGAAGGCUGAACCAGCCAUGCCGCGUGCAGGUCAGUGGCCUAUGGGCGUUAAACUUCUUUUGUGCGGGAGCAAUAAUGGUCACGUGAGGCCAGACGAGAGUACCGUACGAAUAAGCAUCGGCUCACUCCGUGCCCGCAGCAGCGGUCAUACGAGUGAUGCAAGCGUUAUCCGGAUUUAGUGGGUUUAAAGGUUGAGUCGGCUGGGAGGUAAGUCAGCGGGGAAAUGCCCCGGCGCAAAGGGGUGAAGUGCCCUUGAGACUGCCUUGCUGGAAUGCGGAUGCGGAGGGAGGAAUGUGUGGUGUAGCGGUGAAAUGCGUAGAUAUC